AAUAAAUCCUGGUGGUGAUGGUGGUGGUCUGAAGGGAGGCAGGGGCGGGAGAAUGGUGAAGCGUGAUUUUAAAGGUGGUAGCGGUCAUGCUGGAAGCCCAGCCAGCCUAGCAGACAGCCAGUGACAACACAGCCAGUCAGUGUGCCGCCAGAUGCUGUGGGCGGAAGACGUGCAGUGGUAACAAUCAGUGCGCCGAGGGAGACUACAGUGAAUCGAGAAUGCACGUGUCGGCAACAGUGUGCGUGUGGGCGUGCGUGUUGGCGGUGACGGCAGGCGACAUUUGCGACAGGAGGGACAGGAGGACAGAGAGACGGUGGAAGGGAGACAUUGGUAACCUAAACACCUCGCCCGGGGGACCACGAGACCGCCUGCAGCUCCACCACCGCGUGCGUCGCUUCCUCAGCUUCCCCACCGGGUCAGUGCUCACCGUGACGCCCAAGCUGACCAUUCCCUUCGUGGACGAGCUGGAUGGAUACAUCACGGGGGCGCAACUGUACGCCUUUCCCAUCGACCUGCAGCUGCCCAACGGUACGCUGAGGCUGAGGACGAGUUACGAGUACGAGUAUGAGGAGGAGCAGGAGGAGUACUCGUACAUGCCCAUGAGUCAGAGCACCUACAGCAGCUACGCCACCCACAGCCGCUACUCACGCGCCAUCGACCACCAGAGGGCAGCGGGCUUCAACUUCCUGCAGCAGUUGAUGGACGCGGCGGGCGUGGAGGGGCGUGAGUGCGUGCUGCGGGCGGUGUGCGAGGUGGCAGAGCGGCCCGUGGAGCACCUGGGUCUCACCGGGGAGCUCAUCAACCUCUUUUUCAGUGCUGGGCACGGAGCGGGAUCACCGGAAGUGCGGGAGUAUGUGGCGGCAGAGGAGGCGGGGCGAAGGCAGGGGGACUGUGAGAGCCUGUACCCUGCCUGCCCUUACCACCUGGCCAGCAUGGCGCAGUCUGCCCUCGCAUACUUCCACCAAGGCUUGGCCACGGCCGGCGACGCUACCGUCAACCUGUUUGAGUAGACUCGCGACAGACAGACAUCGGUGACAGUGACACCAAGAAAAGGAACCAUGAGACAAUUUCUCACAGAUUUUACGCAGCAGAUAAGGAACAAACUCAAUGUCACUAACUCUUACAACGACUCUUCAAAAGUCACAGAGAUAAUUAGCUGGAUUCUCAUGAAUGUUUCUGCUGUUGAUAAUACUGAAAUCUUGAUAAUAUCUCUAGAGCUUUUAAAACCUGUGUCACUUCAUUUGGGGCCUUCUGAAAAUAGUUGGUGUGCACCAAGAGUCGUUUCAGAAUGUGGUCCUGAGACUGGCUGUGCAGCUCAGCGCCCUUCAACAACACAACCUGAAUACUGCCGAACCAUCACCUUAGUUGCGCUACGUCUCAACAACAGUUAUCCCUUCAAGAUAUAUAAAUAAUAACAUAAUAAAAAACAAUAAAUUAAGAAAAAAAAGAUCGAAGCUGAACCAAAAGAUUCUUACAAAUCUCUAUCUCUCUCUCAUAUUUAUUUCGUUAUGCAUUUGUUCAUUCGCAUACUUAUUUAGGCAUAUGAUUAGUUGGUUAGUUAGUUAUAUAUUUAUUUGUUUUUCUUUAUUUCUUAUUGUGAUUAGCUAAUUAGUUAGUUCGAUUGUUAGGCUCCAUCCAUAUCAUUCCGUAUAGGUAGUAGUAGUGGUAGUAGUAAUAGUAGUAGUGGUAGUAGUAGUAGUAAUAGUAGUAGUAGUAGCAGUAGUAGUAGUAGUAGUAGUAGUAGUAGUAGUAG
rnacentral:misc_RNA from 1 species